AAAAAAGAGAAGAGGAGAGAAAGGAAGAGGAGAAACUAGAGAAACUAGAGAGAAAGCUACGAAUUUAAGAGAAAAAGAGCCCAAAACGUUAUCAAACAGUCCCUAAGUUUCAGCUGCGCUAAAGGAAAUUCCGAGGCAAGUUUUGGCGAGUUUUGGUGAAUUUCGGGAAAGGUUCAAGAGACGACGAGGCGAGCAUAGUUAAGAGUAAUCCGUAAGAGGUAUGUAAAGCGAACCUUUCUUUCU